AGGCUGAAGACCUUACCCGAUUAGCUGAGAGGUGGUGCAUGGCCGUCGUCAGUUCGUACUGUGAAGCAUCCUGUUAAGUCAGGCACGAGCGAGACCCACGUCCACAGUUGCCAGCAUACCCCUCCGGGGUGAUGGGUACACUGUGGAGACCGCCGCUGCUAAAGCGGAGGAAGGAGUGGGCAACGGUAGGUCAGUAUGCCCCGAAUCUCCCGGGCUACACGCGGGCUACAAUGGUUGGUACAAUGGGCAUCUACCCCGAAAGGGGAAGGAAAUCUCUUAAAGCCAAUCGUAGUUCGGAUUGAGGGCUGCAACUCGCCCUCAUGAAGCUGGAAUCCGUAGUAAUCGCGUUUCAACAGAACGCGGUGAAUACGUCCCUGCUCCUU
rnacentral:rRNA from 1 species